UAUGGCCUUGCGCAAGAGGGCCGAAUCGAGUGGCGUGCCCUUGUUUGUGUGCGCCCACUGGACAAUAUCCAGUCGGCCUCGACGGACAAACUUGCCGACGGUCUUGGCACACAAGUUGAUGAGGCCUUGGUCGGUCGCCCAAACAAUCGUCGCCAAAGGCAUCUGGUGGGAGCGAUGCUUGCUCAUGAUGCACGCGCGAACCUGGCCGGCGUCUGCGCCGUGUUCCAUCAGCCACUCGACAAGAUCCGCGUGACCGUUGCACAGGGCCUUGGUGAUUGUGUAACAGUCGUCGGGCACAUCGGCGCCGCAAUCAAAGAGACGGCGUAGCCGAUCUAUGUCCCCUUUGGAUGCAAAUGCACGCCAAAUCAUGCGUUCAUUCGAGCCGCAGUCGUUGAUGACCUCGUCAACAAUGUCGGCGUCGCCUUGGCCGAUCGCGUCGUACGCAGAGGUGGCUGUCCAGUGCCAGCCGCGAGUUCGCAAGGCACGGCGGGCGUUGGGGUCGCAUGCGCGCAUGGCCGCCAUCAGUGGGCACGGCCUGGGCGCCGACUCGCCGGCUGGCGGUGCUGUGAGCAGAUUGUCCAAAAGCCACAGGCCCGCCGCCGAAUGGCCUCGUGCAAUGGCCUCGCAGGCCAUGGGCAAAAUCCAGUGCGUGUCGCCACAGAGGCCCUCGGCGAUAUUGGCGCACCUCCAGCGGUGGCGUCGUCCGGCCCACAGUUGCCGCCUCCACUCGCGACACACCAAAGAGGCCAUGAUCCUGGCCUCGCGGUCGGUGAAUUCUACGAGGAUGUGCUGGACCAGUUCAUGUGGGAGGUUCUGGAUGCUGCUCUCGGCGACCGUGCCUGCGUCAGUCAUCUUGCAGUCGCCUUGUGGUGCAGGCCUUGCUAGAUAUUUUGGGCGAAAAGAAAAGACACAAAUGAUCUUUCUUUUCGCGCCGCCUCCAAUCUUUUUUAAUACUUUUGGCAGUUUUAAUGGGCGCCAAUAGGCCACCC
rnacentral:lncRNA from 1 species